GUUUUUUUUUUUUUUUUGUGCGAUGCUUGUUUCAUUUUAUCUUGACUAUUUUAAAGAACUGUUUUAAGUUGGUCAGUGCAAACCACUAGGUAUUGUUGUACACACCUGUUGACUUGGCUCAUUGAGAGGCCAAAAAAAAAAAAAAACUAACAAUAGAACCAAAGCACAAUAUUAGAUGUACAUUACUGGUGUUUUGUUCUUGUUAUUUGUAAUGAUUGUUGAAAGAUAGUGUGACUGUAUCACAGGCAGGACAUAGUACCUUUCACUGAAAUCUGUAUACUUAAGAUAAAACACUAUAGUACAUAGUAAAUAUGAAUGUUUUUGUAGCAUUAUAACUGU